UAAUGCUCCCGCUGUACGGGGUUGAAGGAGUCAAAGUCUACUCUUCCCUUGGUGGCUGCUGCCUUUUUCUUUUCUCCUCUGCCCAGUCCAGACCAACAUAAAAUGGCUAAUAAUACAAAACACGGCAGUACAGAGAAGAAAAUGAAAUUCUCUUGCUUGGUUUUCUUCUACCUCUCAGCACUCUUCUUUACUGCUUCAUCUUCCACAAUCUCCUUGGGCUCCUCCAUCUCCCCUUCAUCCACGACUCAGCGGUCGUGGCUCUCUUCCAAUUCCACUUUCUCCCUUUCCUUCAUUCCGUCGCCUUCCUCCAACUCUUUCCUCGCUGCCAUCACCUAUGAAGGUGGAGUUCCUACUAUCUGGACAGCUGGAGGCGGCGCCACCGUUGACGCUGCUGGAUCCCUCAGUUUACUCUCCAACGGUUCCCUUCGUCUUACCAAUGGAUCUGGCGCUGUUGUCUGGGAUUCCGGCACGGCCGGCCGAGGUGUUUCCUCCGCUUCCUUGGAAGUCUCGGGGGAACUCCGGCUACUGGGCAAUGGCACUUCUGUGGUUUGGUCUUCUUUUGAUCAUCCAACGGAUACGAUGGUUCCAGGGCAGAAUUUCACUGAUCGCGGAGUUCUAAGAUCUGGGCUUUAUUCCUUUUCUCUCCAGAGGUCAGGGAAUUUAACUUUGACAUGGAAUAAUAGUAUUGUUUAUUGGACUCAAGGAUUGAAUUCUUCUUUUGAUGCUAAUUUAACUUCACCCAGUUUAGGGUUGCAACCUAUUGGUAUUUUGAAUCUCUUUGAUCCUGGUUUGAGUAAUGGGGUAAUCAUGGCUUACAGUAGCGAUUAUGCUGAAGGAAGUGAUAUUUUGAGGUUUUUAAAGUUGGAUUCUGACGGCAAUCUAAGGAUUUACAGUUCUUCUAGAGGUAGUCGGACUACAACUGCGAGAUGGUCCGCUGUUUCGGAUCAGUGUGAGGUUUUUGGUUACUGUGGGAAUAUGGGAAUUUGUAGUUAUAAUGAUACAAAUCCAAUUUGUGGGUGUCCAUCCGAGAAUUUCGAGCCGGUUGAUGUGAAUGAUUGGAGGCAAGGGUGUAAGAGGAGAAGGGAGAUUGAGGAUUGUCCAGGUAGCGCUGCUAUGUUGCAACUGGAUCAUGCUGAAUUCUUGACUUAUCAGCCUGAGUUGUCUUCUCAGGUUUUCUUUGUUGGGAUAUCAGCUUGUAGAUUGAAUUGUCUUGUGAGCCCGUCUUGUAUUGCUUCCACUUCUUUGUCGGACGGAACCGGGCUUUGUUACUUGAAAACUACCGAGUUUGUGAGCGGGUAUCAAAGUGCAGCACUCCCUAGUACUUCUUAUGUUAAGGUUUGUGCACCAGUAUCACCAAACCCUUCUCCCUUUGCAGAUAAUGCUGGGAAUAGAAAAGGUUGGAGAUUGCAUGCGUGGAUUGUUGUUGUUGUGAUUGUGGCUACUGCGUUGGUUUUGAUUGCAUUGGAAGCCAGUUUGUGGUGGUGGUGUUGCAGAAACAGUCCCAAAUUUGGGGGUCUAUCAGCUCAAUAUGCUCUUCUCGAGUAUGCAUCUGGUGCUCCUGUUCAAUUCUCGUACAGGGAGCUUCAGCGCUCAACCAAGGGGUUUAAGGACAAGCUUGGAGCGGGAGGGUUUGGGGCUGUAUACAAAGGAGUUCUUGCUAACAGGACGAUUGUGGCAGUGAAGCAACUGGAAGGCAUUGAGCAGGGUGAAAAACAGUUUAGAAUGGAGGUUGCUACCAUCAGUAGCACCCACCAUUUGAACUUAGUGAGAUUGAUUGGUUUUUGCUCUGAGGGCCGUCACAGGCUUUUAGUUUAUGAGUUCAUGAAAAAUGGGUCUCUAGAUAGCUUCCUCUUUGCAACAGAAGAGCACUCAGGAAAGAUGUUGAGCUGGGAAUAUCGUUUUAACGUUGCUCUUGGAACUGCAAGGGGAAUCACAUACCUUCAUGAGGAGUGUCGUGACUGCAUUGUUCAUUGUGAUAUAAAGCCCGAAAACAUUCUCUUGGAUGAAAAUUACAACGCCAAAGUGUCGGAUUUUGGACUUGCCAAACUUAUAAAUCCCAAAGACCAUAGAUACCGAACAUUGACAAGUGUUAGGGGUACAAGGGGCUAUUUGGCUCCUGAAUGGCUUGCUAACCUUCCGAUAACUUCUAAAUCUGAUGUUUAUAGCUAUGGGAUGGUUUUGUUGGAGAUAGUGAGUGGAAGAAGGAAUUUUGAUGUUUCAGCGGACACAAAUAGGAAAAAGUUUUCUAUAUGGGCUUAUGAAGAAUUUGAGAAGGGUAAUGUAGAGGGAAUUGUUGAUGAAAAGCUAGUUAAUCAAGAUGUAGACAUGGAGCAAAUAACUAGGGCAAUUCAGGUUAGUUUCUGGUGCAUCCAGGAACAGCCUUCUCAGCGGCCAAUGAUGGGAAAAGUAGUUCAGAUGCUGGAAGGAAUCACGGAUAUUGAGAGACCACCAGCGCCAAAGGCUGCCACUGAAGGUUCUGUUGGUGGAACCAGCAUAAACGUGAGCAGUAAUAUCAGUGCUUUCUCAACUUUUGUUGUUUCUGCCCCAGCUCCCUCUUCAUCUUCCUCAUUGCAAACAGCUGGGGUUUCUCCUCUGGCUUCAGCUUCAGGAAGGAAUUUUGAGAAGCAGUCAUUAUCCCUGCUACAGUCAGACAUGAAAUGAAACUCUUUCAGUUUGUAAACCUGCAUCAGAUAACUUUGGCUGGCGAUCUCUGAUCCAGAUUUAACACGAACUUUGAGAUUUUUGUGGAAA